rnacentral:rRNA from 1 species
UGAAUACGAGACGCUACGGCGUCGAAGCAGUCUAUGUCAUACUUCCAAGAAAAGCUCGCAAUGUCAUAAACAAAUAAUGCCUGUACCAUAACCGACACAGGUGGGUAGGUAGAGUAUACUAAGGGGCGCGAGAUAACUCUCUCUAAGGAACUCGGCAAAAUGACUCCGUAACUUCGGGAGAAGGAGUGCCUUAUUUAUAAGGUUGCAAUAACAAGAUCCAAGCAACUGUUUAUCAAAAACACAGGUCUCCGCUAAGUCGUAAGACGAUGUAUGGGGGCUGACGCCUGCCCAGUGCCAGAAGGUUAAAGAAGUUGGUUAGCAUUCGCGAAGCUGAUAACUGAAGCCCUGGUGAACGGCGGCCGUAACAAUAACGGUCCUAAGGUAGCGAAAUUCCUUGUCGGGUAAGUUCCGACCCGCACGAAAGGCGUAAUGAUUUGGAUACUGUCUCGGAGAGGGGCUCGGUGAAAUAGACUUGUCUGUGAAGAUGCGGACUACCUGCACCUGGACAGAAAGACCCUAUGAAGCUUUACUGUAACUUGAAAUUGAAAUUGGACUUUAUUUGCGCAGCAUAGGUGGGAGGCGUUGAGAGUAUUCUUGCGGGAAUAUUGGAGCCAUCAGUGAGAUACCACUCUUGUAAUGUUAGAUUUCUAACUUUGUAUCAUUAUCUGGUCAAAGAACAGUUUCAGGCGGGCAGUUUGACUGGGGCGGUCGCCUCCCAAACGGUAACGGAGGCGUACAAAGGUUUCCUCUGAACGGGUAGAAAUCGUAUCUAGAGUGUAAAGGCAUAAGGAAGCUUGACUGUGAGACCUACAAGUCGAGCAGGGACGAAAGUCGGUCUUAGUGAUCUGACGGUGCUGAGUGGAAAGGCCGUCACUCAACGGAUAAAAGUUACUCUAGGAUAACAGGCUGAUCUCCCCCAAGAGUUCACAUCGACGGGGAGGUUUGGCACCUCGAUGUCGGCUCAUCGCAUCCUGGGGCGGUAGUACGUCCCAAGGGUUGGGCUGUUCGCCCAUGAAAGCGGUACGCGAGCUGGGUUCAGAACGUCGUGAGACAGUUCGGUCCAUAUCCGGUGUAGGCGUUAGAAUAUUGAGAGGAGCCUUCUUUAGUACGAGAGGACCGAGAAGGACAUACCUCUGGUGUACCAGUUAUCGUGCCAACGGUAAACGCUGGGUAGCUAUGUAUGGAGAGGAUAACCGCUGAAAGCAUCUAAGUGGGAAGCCCACCUCAAGAUAAGUAUUCUCA